rnacentral:rRNA from 1 species
UACGUAGGGUGCAAGCGUUACCCGGAAUCACUGGGCGUAAAGGGCGUGUAGGCGGGAUGUUAAGUCUGACUUUAAAGACCAUGGCUCAACCAUGGGAGUGGGCUGGAUACUGGCAUUCUAGACAACUGGAGAGGCGAUUGGAAUUACUGGUGUAGCGGUGGAAUGCGUAGAUACCAGUAGGAACGUCAAUGGCGAAGGCAGGUCGCUGGACAGUUUGUGACGCUGAGGCGCGAAAGUGUGGGGAGCAAACCGG